GCAAGUUGAGCGGUAAGGCCCCUUCGGGGGUACACGAGCAGCGAACGGGUGAGUAACGCGUGGGUAAUCUACCUAUGAGGUGGGGGAUAGCCCCGGGAAACCGGGGGUAAUACCGCAUAUGUUCCGUAUGACAUAAGUCACUCGGUGGAAAGACGGGGAUCUUCGGACCUGUCGCCUCUAGAUGAGCCCGCGUCCGAUUAGCUAGUUGGUGAGGUAACGGCUCACCAAGGCAUCGAUCGGUAGCCGGCCUGAGAGGGUGAAC
rnacentral:rRNA from 1 species